rnacentral:rRNA from 1 species
AACAAACGCUGGCGGCGUGCCUAACACAUGCAAGUCGUACGAGAAAGGGUCCUUCGGGGCCUGAGUAAAGUGGCGCACGGAUGAGUAACGCGUGGAUAAUCUGCCCUUCAGUUGGGAAUAACUCAUCGAAAGGUGGGCUAAUACCGAAUAAUGCUGUGAGACCUCGGUUGAUCAGCCAAAGAUAGCCUCUGCUUGCAAGCCUUCGCUGACGGAUGAGUCCGCGUACCAUUAGCUAUUUGGUAGGGUAAUGGCCUACCAAGGAGACGAUGGUUAGCUGGUCUGAGGGGAUGAUCAGCCACACUGGAACUGAGACACGGUCCAGACUCCUACGGGAGGCAGCAGUGAGGAAUCUUGCGCAAUGGGGGCAACCCUGACGCAGCAACGCCGCGUGAGUGAGGAAGGUCUUCGGAUCGUAAAGCUCUGUCGGAUGGAAAGAACCGCAUAGGGGUAAACAGCCCCUGUGUCUGACGGUACCAUCAAAGGAAGCACCGGCUAACUCCGUGCCAGCAGCCGCGGUAAAAC